rnacentral:rRNA from 1 species
GUUCUACCUUGACGAAUUGUAGUUUAAAGAAGUGUUUUCUGUUAGAGGAGUGGCAAAAGUUCUCUGGAAUAGGACAUCAUAGAGGGUGAGAAUCCCGUAUUUGGUCAUUCUUUCUAGCUGCGUGAUACACUUUCAAAGAGUCGGAUUGUUUGGGAAUGCAGUCCAAAAUGGGUGGUAAAUUUCAUCUAAAGCUAAAUAUUGGCGAGAGACCGAUAGCGAACAAGUACCGUGAGGGAAGGAUGAAAAGAACUUUGAAAAGAGAGUUAAACAGUACGUGAAAUUGUCAAAAGGGAAGCGUUUGACACCAGUGUUGUUUUCUCGAAAAUCAAUUAAAAAUGGUGGGAUUUUGUGUUGUAUUGACUUUAUCAGCUUUCUGCACUUUUUUCCUAUCUUUUUU